rnacentral:misc_RNA from 1 species
GCAAACUUGGUCAUUUAGAGGAAGUAAAAGUCGUAACAAGGUUUCCGUAGGUGAACCUGCGGAAGGAUCAUUACCGUAAUGAUGGGAGGGUGUGCUGCUGCUGGCGCUGCUGCGCCAACACACACGCCCUCUCUCUAUCAUCACACUCAAACCCCUUCUCUGUGUGUGUGUGUGUGUGUGCGUGUGUCUAUGUGGCACACACACACAUACACAAAUCUCAAGUACACAACGCGCGUGUUGUUGCUGUUUGUCUCUUGUAGCACACACAAUAACGACGACGAAAACGCACACACACACAUAUACCAACCAAAAAACACAAAACAAUACUGACCCACCGUUGGUCUGAGAACCUUUUUUGUGCCAAAUACAACGCUGCCGCGAGCGGUGGUGUUGCUUUGUGUGCAAAAAAGCAACAAAACCUAACAUAUAUUACAACUUUUAACAACGGAUAUCUUGGCUCGCGCAUCGAUGAAGAACGCAGC